ensembl:lncRNA
CAGAAAAAUGAGACUUUUCUCUUAAGCUGUAGUGCUUCUUUUUAUAACAUUCUCUCCCAUCUCCUCAUAGAGACCUAUACAGAAAAACAGCCUGCCAUUUGCAGCAGGUAGCUUUGUGCUUCUGCAAUGCUCCCUUGAGCUUGCAAGAUUCCUGCUGUAUCACAUUGGCUUGGCCCUGCUGGGAAAAUAUACUGAUCAAGCCUUGAUUUCUCCACUGAUAACCUACCAUCUAUCUAUUUGGUUAAACAUGUGUCUCAUUUGCUUAUGUGGCCUACUGAAGGGUAAUUUGACACAGUUUCUGAUUGUCUUCUAGGAAAGCGUUAUUUUUUUCUAAGUUUUGUCCACAAAUGUGUGUGUGUGUGUGUGUGUGUGUGUGUGUGUGUGCUUGUGUGUUUAAUCCCCUAGUUUAUAACAGAAAUUUUUCUUUGAAACAAAAGUAAUUCUUAUGGAUACAAUGUAAUCUUAAACUCUCAUAGCAUAUAUGAACAAGAAACUUUUCUUUCUCUCUCUCUCUUUCUUUCUUUCUCUCUCUCUCUUUCUUUCUUUCUUUUUCUUUUCUUUUCUUCUUUUUUUUUUUUUUUUAGACAGAGUUUUGCUCUCAUUGCUCAGGCCAGAGUGCAAUGGCGUGAUCUCGGCUCACUGCAACCUUCACCUCCUGGGUUCAAGCCAUUCUCUUGCCUCAGCCUCCCGAGUAGCUGAGAUUACAGGCCUGGGAUCUUCUUCCUGUUCUUUAUCUCUAUGACUUUCAUGUGUCCUUGAAGACUCUGCUGACGUCCUGAUGGAUAUCUCCACUCCUUAAAUUGAGUAAGUUCCCUUGUCUCAGCGAGCAUAGGCCUGUUAUACACCCAUUUCUUUAUGGUUUUCAUCACUUGAAAUGAAAGCAAGCAAUUCUCUGCUCAGAUGCCUGUCUCCCCACUAGAUGAGUUUUCUGAGGACAGUAACUUUUUUAUUCAAUAGUGUACUUCCAUACUCACAUAAAAUUAUGUAUGCAAAGGAGGAACUGUGCCUCAAAUUGAAGGCAGAUGGUAUGCCCUCAAUAAUAAAGUGCGAAUAUGAGCCAUUUUGAUGACUAAAGUGUAGUGACUCUUGGUAUCUGAGGGGGAUUGUUUCCAGGACCCACCUCUGAUACCAAAAUUCAUGGAUGCUCAAGUCCCACAGUUGGUCCUAUGGAACAGUGUAUUUUCAAAUUCUGUAUUUUCUAUCUGCAUUUGGUUGAAUCUGAAGAUGUGGAACACACAGAUAUGGAGGGCCAACUGUACAAAGUCUUGAAUCCUGAAGAAUAAUUUGUUAUGCAUGUUGCAAAUUGAUCAUUUGUGGACUAAAUCUAAUAACCAUACUGGGAUUUUGCAAUGGUUGGGUUUUGUCAUCUGAGAUCCCUAGCUGAUUGAUAAAUAAUAAUGUAGGAUCUAUUGUGUGACAAGUUACUCAACACUUAGCGGCUUAAAACAACACAGAUUUAUGAUCUCACAGUUUCUGUGGUUCAGGAAUCUGAGUGUGGCUUAGCUGGGUCUUCUGCUUUAGGGUCUCUUGUGGACUGUAGAUCUCAGAUCAACUGAGAAGGAUCCACUUCUGAGCUCACUCAUGUGGUUGUUGGCAGGAUUCAGUUCCUUGCAGGCUGGUGGACUGAGUCUUCAAUUCCUUGUGAGCUGUUGGCCAAAGGCCUCUCUUUGUUUGUUGCCAUGUGGGCCUCUCCAUAGAGUGUCUCACAACAUGGCAGCUGCUUUCAUCAAAGCAAGCAAGUGGAAGGCAGGAGAGAGCACCAACUAGAGCAUGCCAGCAAGACACAAAUUGCACUGUUUCGUAACCUAAUCUCAAAAGUGACAUCCCAUCACUUUUGCCAUAUUCUAUUGGUGACUAGGUCCAGCUGACACUUAAGGGGAGGGAAUUACACAAAGGUGUGAAUACCACGAGGUAGAGAUCAUUGGGAGUUGUCAGAAGCUGGCUACAACAAAUAAUAAAAAUUCAAGAAAAAUCUAAAAUGGAUAACAGCGGAUAUCUGACAGUGCAAAUAUAAAACAUACUACUGAGAUUGAACUACUAUCAGAAUGGAUAUAUAGGAAAGACAAGAAAGUUUAAGCCCAAAUUAUUUAAUUCCUCCUCCUCCUCCUCCUCCUCCUCAUCUUCUUCUUCUUCUUGCAUUGGGAUCUCACUCUGUCACACAGGCUAGAGUACAGUGGCAUGAUCAUAGCUCACUGCAGCCUUGACCUUCUGGCAUCAAGCAAUCCUGCCUCAGCCUCCUGAGUAGUUGGGACUAUAGGAGUGAACCACCAUGCCUGGCUAAUCCUUUAUUCUCAAUCCAUAAGCAUUCAUUGACUGUCUAUUUGGUACCAAGCAUCAUGAUGCACUCAGGAUACCCUAGAGAGGAAUACAACUUUAUAUGUGACUGAAAAAGUUUAGAGAUUAGUGAAGAAAAUAAGCAUGGAAAAAAAUAAGUUUGGAAAAUUUCGUAAUGCAAGUAUAUUAAUAGUGUUUUUGCAGUACAGUGGUAGAGGGCAUGUCAGGAAAUUUUACUUUGAGUUACUGAAACUUUUGUGGAAAAUUGAGCAAUGAGAAUUAAGCCCUAAGCAGAGAGUGAUGGGAGGAAAAAAGGAAGAAAUGUUUCUGAUUGGGGACUUUUGAAAUCAGGAGAUGAUUUUAACAGUCCCCAAGUCUCAAUCUCAAUGCCAAAGGGAAGCAGUGGGGUUCACGUUUCACACCAAAAUAAUAUAGUCAAGAUAAUCUUUGGAAACUGCUCUUGUCUCCUUAAAGAUUAGUUGGGUGAAGUGGGGUGGAUUUUUCUGAAUUCCAUGACUGGUCUUUGAUAACACCUUCAGUCAUGCAUAUUUUAUUGUUAGGAUUGUAGCUGAAUCUCCUCUUCUCCUCUGUGGUACCUCUAUAACCCCAGGAACUUGCUCAGUUUCUGGUGGCUUCUAGCUACCCGAGUCUCCACCAGGCUGAUCUUGAUGGGCAUUGUUCCCACCAGACUCCCCUGGAGAUAUCUCCUUUGUCUUUUACCCGUAAGAGUCUAAGUUUCCUCUUUGGAGCGGAGCACAGGAGGAUAUUCCCGUACUAGGGUGAGCAUUCAGACAAGCAGAGAAACUGAUCCUUCUGCCACCUUUUUUUAAAACUAGAGUCUAAGGUGGCAGCAGGUAUUAACCAUAAUGAUGUGGGGAGUGGGGGAGUGGGGUGUGUGCUUGGCUGUGGAUUAUAAUUGCAUUAUUUUUCUUUCAAUUACAUAUUUUUUUGCUUCCAUUGUCACCUCAAUUACAAUUUCACAAAUAUACCUCCUUUUUUUAUUACAGCAGCAUAUAUUUAUUUCUGGGUUUAAUUGUUUUUGGCAUCCUUCAAUUUCACAUUCUUCAAAAUAAUGACUAUGGGAUGCCAUAAUCUAAUGACUGAUGAGUUCUCUACUCUGCCAAGUCAUUGUCUCCUAUUUAGGUUUGUGUUUUUUAAGUGUUAGGUUGUAUAAAAAGCAUUAUGUAUACUAGGGAGAAACUGUAGUUCAGAGAUCGUGACAGAACCGACAUUUCAAUCCAAAGCCUCUGUCAUUGCACCAAGCCAAGCAAAAGAUCCAGUAGAUGAAAUUACUGUCUGGAAUCUUGAGAAAUCUGCAACGUCAGGAAAGCUUCCAGGUAGUGAGAGCUGGGAAAAUGAUCUUUUUCUUUUCCAAUAAGGAGGAGCAUUCUUUAAACCACAGGUUGUUUUGCUUGUUGCCAAUCCUUGGAAUGAGAAGAUGGACAAGGGAAUGGUUUGACCCACUGCUCCUGGUUCAUAUCUCUAGUGAGAGAGAAGUGAAGCACUGAAUAAGAAGACAUCACUAAUAGUUAAAUAAUCAAAGUGUCAACAAAAUGAUAGUUUCCUCAUGUAUUUCUGAAAGAAUGCAAAACAAAAAACACCAUUAUUAUUCCUUUCUAAGGCAUGUAACAACUCUCCUUUAUGUGGCUUUUGGAAUUUGCCUAUUUAUGACAUGAGAUCCAGCUUCCUCUCCUAAACCUAAGGGUCAUAAAGACUCUCUUCCUUGUUGACAAUAAGGCAGUUUUUUGAUGGCAUCUUACUUUCUUUUUGAAUAUAAAAUAAAUUCUUCAGUGUCAAUGUUUGCAGGAAUGAGGAUGAGUUAUUCCUAGCCUCUGAUUGGUAAAAAAUUUCCUUCUUUUUAUCUGGAAAAAAAUUUUUUAUACAUGACAAAGUCUAAUUUUUAAAUUCUGAGCUACAAUAGCAGCAUGUAUAAAAUUACGCUAUAAUUAUGUCCUUAUAUAUCUGUCUCUCCCACUAAAUUGGGAACUCCCUGAGGGUUGAAGUUGUUUGUCAUUCAUUUAUAUUUUGAAAUGCAUACAACAGUGCCUGCACCUAGGAAAUUGGUAACAAAUGCUUUUUCAUAUAAAUUGAUUCAUUCAUUCAUUUACCCACUAUUCAGUCUCCCUGGGUUUUACUUUCCUUAUUUUUUUAUUAGAAUAACAAUAUAAAUGGCACAUGGAAAACUCUCAGAUGCAUAGUAGAUACUCAAUAAAUGAUAUGACAUUCCUUCUCCCUAUUCAGAGCUGUAGCCCAUCACACCUGAAGAAGUAGAUGUUAUUUAGAGUAGUUGAAUAUUCUGGGACCACGUUCUCAUCCAUUUAGACACAUGUGUGUCAACUUCAAGUUUACCCUCCUAUACAUUCCUGUCCUUGGGCAGGGAACAUAAAGAAAAGACUUCCUGGGAUGUCCUGCUUUCUCUGUCUUACAUGAACAUCAUUUGUGUAUAGACUACAAGCCUUGUUACUCUUGCUUGGUGAACAUAGCUGUGAGUAACCCUUACCCUUCCAGACACGAUUUGUUCUCAUCCAAGUCCCUUUUUUACUUAUCUUUGGUUAAACAUCCUCUCUUCUAAUUGUUGUUGUACGUGCCCUUUUAUGCAUCUGAGUUCAUCGAAUGACUUAUUCAUUUACCACUUUGAUCAGGGAGGCUCAGAAAUAUUUAAUGUUGACAAAAUAGAAACAUGAUAAAAUACCAUGUCACAAAUAUAGUCAAAUUAGUAGCUGUAAUUUAAAAUCUUACUAAAGCAUUAAAGUACUUCAUUUGGCCCUGUCUAUUCUUAAAUGUCCAAACACAUUAAUGAAAGAUCUGUGAAUUUUAAAAAAUGGCUCUAUAAAAAAAAAAAUCAGCAUGCUGAGGGCCUAAAUCUUUAACUUGAUUAAGGAAUUCAGGCCCAUAGUUCCUUGUCUGCAGUUCUGAAAUUCCCCCAAAACUGACAAGCUAAAAUUUUGUUCGUAAUUUACUUGGUGACAAAAUUUGAGCUGAAUUGAAGAGAGGUUAUUUAUAGUCUUCUCUUUAUCCUAUUUGUUGUGAAUAUUUCUGUUUCAUGGAAAAAUAUCAAUGUUUGAUUACUGUGUGCUGCCCCAGGCCUCACUGCAAAUGUUGUUUAAUACAUAGUCUAUGUUCUCUACGACCCUCCUAAAAUCUGAAAAGUCUAGGUUUGGAAACACAUUUAGUCCGAAGAAUUUAUUUAGGGGAAGAGAUCAUUCACCUGUAGUUACCAAACUUCACCCCUUAGGAGUUGGUAUUGUACAUAAACACUUGUGUGGAAUUAUGUUCCAUCAUCUUUGAUUAUAUUGGUUUCAAAGAAUAUUUGAAGUAGUUCCUACCUAACAAAAUAUUUAUGGAUGAAAUAAUUUAAUAUC